GAGGAGCCGCCCCGCCCGGCCCCUCCCCAGUGGGCCCGAAGCCCGCCGCCCGCGGAGCCCCCAGCGCGGCCGGGAAGGGUGUCGGGCGCAGCGAGCGGCCGGGGCUUCCGGGCCGGGCGGGGAUCCGGGAGCCCAGCGGCGCGCAGGACGAGAGGACCGGGCGGGCCGCACUGCAGAGGGAGGGCGCCGAGGGCUCCCCCCCACCGGCUCCCUGCGCGCUUCCCGGCAGGCACAGGGCUCUGGGAGGCAGCUGGGCCACCCACUGCUUCCCCAGCCCCUGCCCGCCAGGCUCAGAGCAAGCGGGGUCAGCGGCGGACGGCCUCGGACUUCAGGGACGCUGGCGCCCCCAGAGGUGGUGCGAGGAGCUCCGGAGCCGAGCCCAGGUCCGCCCUCGUGGCUCCUCCGGCGGCUUCCGGUCCAGAGGAGCCGAGUAGGACCGAGACAUGGCGCGGGGUGGGAGCCUGGGGCUCUCAGGGAGGAGCUCUGCUUGGAUGCCCGGCUGUGUGGAGGCAAAGGAGACAGUCAGGACCCGCCAGCCGCCUUUAUUUCAUCAGAGAGGAGGGGAUGGGGCCGAAGAGGGUCUGCGCCGGGGUCUCAGGGCCAAGCAGCAGGGGUGAGGCCCAGCGGGAGCGCAGAGCGCACGGGUCAUUUGUUGUCCUCCAGGAAGAAGUCGUUGUAGGCCAUGCACAGCGUGGUCAGGAACACCGAGUACUCCUUGAAGUCGAUCUCCCGGUCACUGUUCUUGUCCAGGCUCCUCAUUAGGUCGUCAAUGCUGCUCUCCUUCAUCCUCUGGGAAGACCCAGGCUGAGAGCGGGCUCAGGAGCACCCUGGGCCCUGCAGGCCCAGGGUGCCCCCGAGGCGAGCCGCUCCCCGCCCAGCCCAGCCACGCCUGGCACAGACUCACGCCUGGCACAGUGGAAGGCCAGCCUGCUCUCCCUUCCCAGCACCUCCGCAGCCAGGGGAACGACAACUUGGAGCCGCCUGAGAAGGGGCCAGGCAGUCGUGGCUCCCUGAGCUCAGCCUGGUGCUGCACGGUCCUCUGUCUGGUCCCCUGCCUGCCACCCUGCUCCACCGGGAGCACAGAGCCGGAGCCCUGGCCGGGAGAAAGGGGCUCUUCACUGCCUCAGCUCAGGCCUUCCUAGGCUCCAGCACCCUGGGACACGGGAAGGUGGAAACUGUCUGCAUGGAGACCCUGCUCCCCAGCUGGGUCCUGCCUUCCCCAGGCCUCCCCUGGCCCUGGCCCCCAGUAACCAGCCUUCCCUCUGCCCUCAGUAACUCCAGGGGCCUGGCGGGAAGGCCGGAGGUCAGACCUUCACCCCUGCCCUGGGAAGCACUCAGGGUUGGAGAUGAGCCUGAGGGGCCUCCCCCGGGCUGAACCACCAAGGAGAGAGGAGCUCGCGCCUGGCCUGGAAUUCCAGCUCAGCCUUGAGCUGGACAAGUUCUCCAGUGUGCCUGAGCACGUCGCGUUUGCCUCAGGGGCCUUGCCCUCUGGGGGUGACCUCUCCCUCCAUCUCCAUCUGCUGUGAACCCGGUCUGCCUCCGUUCACAAACUAACCUUUUAGUGCACCUGUCGACCCUGUCUGAGGGCUGUGGCCCCGCACACAGAGGAGAAUCAGGCACAACUUGACCCGGACACCCCAGACUCCUUCGCCUCCCCCAAGUUCCCCCGCACAGGUCCUGUCACCACUGUGACACCCGACCCGGCCAUCAAGACUCCUUCCCCUGCUUCUGGAGCCUCACCCAGGCUGUUCUCCAUCCCCAGACUCCACCUUGCUCCUCAGUGAGAUCUGGCUCAUCCCCCAGAACAGCGGUCUAGAGCUCUGAUGACCCGAGAUGUCCAGCCUCUUCCCUAUGCGGCUGGACAGAGCCUUCCACCAGCCUGCCCCUGGGUCAGAGAACUGGGGAAGGGUGUGUGUCCCCGAAGGGCGGCUCGGGCUUGUGUAGGGUAAGGGAAAGGCCACCUACCUCCCCAAAACUCAGCUCCUCCUUUAUCAGCUCCUUCAGCUCCUUCCGGCUCAGGGUCAGUUUGCUACCCUCUCUCCCUGAGUAUUUGUGAAAAGUGGUGACCAUCGUGGUCAGGGCCUUCUCGAGAGGGGUCUCCAUCAGUGUGCAGCUCUGCAGGGGGUGAAGGGGGCAUCACAGCGCUCAGGAAGCCAGGGCUUCUGCUCCUGGCCACCGUGGCCCCUGUCACUCCCAAAGCCUCCUUCCCAGGACCAGGACUGGAAGCCAUGGUGAGGCCAAAAUCCACCAAGAGGACCCAUCCAGGUCCAGACAGGCUCCAGUGAGACCAGGACAAAGGCUGAGCAAUCAGCGCAGUGAGAGCUCAGGCCCCAGAGGAGGCUCCUCUGCUCUGGAGAUGUUGACAAAGGGGCCCAGGAGCAGAGUGGACAGAAGGCCUCCCCAAAGAGCUGGUGGCAGAUAGGGAACAGGUGCAGGGAGGCAAAAGGAACAUCCACAGAACUGAAGUGCUGCAGGUAGAUCCUGAGGGGAGUCCUGAGCCAGGAGGAAGAAGGUGCUGGCUCCCACUUGCAGCCCAAAGCCCACCCCGCUCUCCACCUGGACCAUCAUUCAUCUCCCACCACCCAAAAUCCUCAGCUUCUCCCACUCGAGGAGACUCAGCCAGGGCCACAGCCCAAAGCAAGAGCCUCUGGGUAUCUGCAGGAGCAUCCUGGUUGCUUCUGGUCCCCCACCGCCACUUAGCAGGAAAUUCUUGCGAACUCAGUUCCGAACUCUGCCCUCUUUCCUGAGCACGCCCCUACUCACAGCCUGGGCCUUCUUUGUGGGGGUGACUGUGGCUUGUCACCCUGUGGCCUCCUCACCCUUCGGGGCCCAGCGAGACAAACGGAGAUCAGAAGGGAGGACUCACCAAGGAGGGGCAAACCCAGAGCAGCCAAGCAGCAGCAGUGGCCUCCUGCCCGCUGCUCUCUGACUUUAUUCCCUUGCUCCCAGGGCCCGAGAGACCAGGGAGAGACAGGGCCAAUGAGAAGGGGUCAGGGACAUGAGGACGCCCAGCAGAGCCUCCUGAGUCGGGCAGGGGAGAAACCCCUGCCCCUUUCACCAUCCUUGCUAACAAACAAGGGCAGGGAACACACUGAGCUCACCGUGGUACACAAGAAAGAUCAGAACUCACUACUCAAUGGAGCAAUAGGCAGAAGAGGGCGGCGUGCGGGGCCAAACCUAAGGUGCCUCCCACAUCCUAGGCCACUCACCCACUCCAGCCGCAGAGGAGUUCUCCGUCAGGCGGUGGGGGUGCGCUUCCUGCCAAGGACACAGUCAAGGUCAUUAGCCACUAUGAAGACAAACUUGUUUUGUUUUUGUUUUUGGGGGGGUAUUGGGGAUUGAACUCGGGACCUUGCGCUUGCAAGGCAGGCAGUGGAACCGCUGAGCUAAAUCCCUGGCCCCUGAAGCCAAACAUUUUGACAGGGCUUUAAAUGAAUGGUUUCUUUUUUGGUUUGGUUUUGGUUUUGGUUUUUGAGAUAGUUCAGACUCCCCUUGA